rnacentral:misc_RNA from 1 species
GUAUACUCCUACCAUGAACGUCAAAAAGACACAAAUCAAUCUGGAUAUGGAUCGAAAAAGUCUCGGCUCGGGAAAGACUCAAUAAAGGAUUUUGACUGCUGUAACCUGACUUUACAACCCUGUAGAAACCCAGUUGUAACUCAAGAUGGAUACUUGUUUGACAAAGAGGCAAUUCUUGAAUACAUUAUUAAGCAGAAGAAAGAACUAGCCCGUAAACAGAAAGAAUACGAAAAGCAGAAAAACAGAGAAAAGGAAGAACUUGCAGAAUUAGCAAAAGCUGAGAAUGAAUCAAAGAAACAAGAAUUUAUGAAGGCUAACUCCCAAGCUCCUAUCACCAAACAGACAGCUGACAGACCAUCAACAUCCAGUGUCAGUAACAUGCAGGAAGGCAAAAACAAAGACUUACCAAGUUUCUGGGUCCCCUCUAUGACACCAGCAGCUAAUGCUACAAAAAUGGAUAAGCCAGAUGAAAAAGUCAGAUGCCCCAUGAGUGGAAAGCCAAUCAAACUCAAAGACCUUUUUCCUGUCCAUUUUACACCAAUAAAGGAUAGAGAUGAAAAGACCUCAUUAAUAGCAAAACAGGCAAGAUAUGUCUGUGCUGUAACAAAUGAUGUAUUGGGAAACUCAGUACCUUGUGCAGUGUUGAAGACAUCAGGGAGUGUGGUUACCCUGGAUUGUGUGGAAAAACUUUUGAAGAAAGACAUGCUUGAUCCAAUAAACAGCAAACCUAUGAAGGAAUCUGACAUCAUCCCACUGAAGGGAGCAUCUGGUUUUUCUGGAUCAGGGAAUCGCUUGGAGGUGAAAAAAGAGGGUGCAGCCAUUAUGGCUUAAACUAGUGUGAAACUCAAAAGUGAAACUGUGAUGUCAUCCAGCAAUUUUGUCAAGACAGAAAACAAGACUAGAGCCCUUCUGUUUGUUUGUUUUGGAUGUGUAUACACAUGAAGAUUUAUUUCUUUUCUGUUGGUCUCUGUUUUCACAGUGGUGUUUUUUAUCCUGUUUAGUACAGAUAUCGAACAGUCUGAUAGAAUAAAGUUAAAUUGUGGCACAGAU